rnacentral:rRNA from 1 species
GACGAACGCUGGCGGCAUGCCUAAUACAUGCAAGUCGAGCGGACAGAAGGGAGCUUGCUCCUGGAAGUCAGCGGCGGACGGGUGAGUAACACGUGGGCAACCUGCCCCUUAGACUGGGAUAACUUCGGGAAACCGAAGCUAAUACCGGAUAAUACAAAGAACCUCCUGGUUCUCUGUUGAAAGAUGGCCUUUGUGCUGUCACUGAGGGAUGGGCCCGCGGCGCAUUAGCUAGUUGGUAAGGUAACGGCUUACCAAGGCGACGAUGCGUAGCCGACCUGAGAGGGUGAUCGGCCACACUGGGACUGAGACACGGCCCAGACUCCUACGGGAGGCAGCAGUAGGGAAUCUUCCGCAAUGGACGAAAGUCUGACGGAGCAAUGCCGCGUGAGUGAGGAAGGCCUUCGGGUCGUAAAGCUCUGUUGUGAGGGAAGAACAAGUAUCGGAGUAACUGCCGGUACCGUGACGGUACCUCACCAGAAAGCCACGGCUAACUACGUGCCAGCAGCCGCAGUAAGAC